UGCCUCCACGGAAGCAAUGAUGACGUCCAAGCUACCGCAUGGACGUGACGGCACUUGACCAAUCAUCGCUCCCUAUGUAAAUACGGACCCGAGGGUCUUUCCAGAUUGGCUGCCUCCGACCGGCCCGUUGUGACGUAAUUGAGGGUGACACUGGGUUUGAGGUCAGAGGGCGGAGCGGUUGCUGUGAGUAAACAGGUUGUUGUGGGAGAGGAUUAAUGUACCUGAACCUGGGUCCCGGGGCGAGGCCCACUGCAUCUCCCGGGGAGUUGGGAAAGCCCGGACCUGUUGAUGGCCUUCCUUCCCGGUCUGCAUUGCUGUCCAGAUGUGAGGCUCUUUAAGUUUUCAAACUGGGGUGUACGACGUUAUCCUCAGUAAUCGAAUCGGGUUAUGUUGAUCUGAUUUGGCAGGUAGCCUGUAUUAACACACACGCUGUGCCUCGGUGUAGAAGUUGCUU